rnacentral:rRNA from 1 species
CCUUCGGGGGUGACGCUUGUGGAACGAGCGGCGGACGGGUGAGUAACACGUGGGCAACCUGCCUGUAAGACUGGGAUAACCCCGGGAAACCGGGGCUAAUACCGGAUAACACCGGACUCCACAUGGAGUCGGGUUGAAAGAUGGCUUCUCGCUAUCACUUACAGAUGGGCCCGCGGCGCAUUAGCUAGUUGGUGAGGUAACGGCUCACCAAGGCGACGAUGCGUAGCCGACCUGAGAGGGUGAUCGGCCACACUGGGACUGAGACACGGCCCAGACUCCUACGGGAGGCAGCAGUAGGGAAUCUUCCGCAAUGGACGAAAGUCUGACGGAGCAACGCCGCGUGAACGAUGAAGGUCUUCGGAUCGUAAAGUUCUGUUGUCAGGGAAGAACAAGUGCCGUGCGAAUAGAGCGGCACCUUGACGGUACCUGACGAGGAAGCCCCGGCUAACUACGUGCCAGCAGCCGCGGUAAUACGUAGGGGGCAAGCGUUGUCCGGAAUUAUUGGGCGUAAAGCGCGCGCAGGCGGUUCCUUAAGUCUGAUGUGAAAGCCCACGGCUCAACCGUGGAGGGUCAUUGGAAACUGGGGAACUUGAGUACAGAAGAGGAGAGUGGAAUUCCACGUGUAGCGG